rnacentral:rRNA from 1 species
CAGUCGCCGCGGUAAUACGAAGGGGGCUAUCGUUGUUCGGAUUAACUGGGCGUAAAGGGUGCGUAGGCGGAUUUUUAAGUCAGGGGUGAAAUCCCAAGGCUCAACCUUGGAACUGCCUUUGAUACUGGGGAUCUUGAGUCCGGGAGAGGUGAGUGGAACUGCGAGUGUAGAGGUGAAAUUCGUAGAUAUUCGCAAGAACACCGGUGGCGAAGGCGGCUCACUGGCCCGGAACUGACGCUGAGGCACGAAAGCGUGGGGAGCAAACAGGAUUAGAUACCCCUGUAGUCCCUGUCUCUUAUAC